rnacentral:lncRNA from 10 species
CUCUAUGGGGUAGAGACGCUAGGCCGGCACUGCCUAGGUGGGCCGGGCGGUGCGAGGGUCGCCUUUCAGCCUUUACCUCUACCCACUGAAAUGGAGUAGGUCGGUGAGCGCCGAUCUGCUGGAGAAUCUCAUUAUCCCAUCGGCGCUCUGCCUGCUCCUGGCCUCCAAGCCUCUGAAGCCCCUCGGGUUUCAGCUGCCGGCUACCCUCGAGCCCGUGGUGCCCACGAGAGAGGCGACUUUACGUCAGCGGCCCUGGGCUGAGAUUUGAGAACGCGACCAAGUGGAGAAUGUUGGAGCCAGAUUUUAAAAUCCUUGUCUUCCUUCUGCGUGCUACUUGAUCUAAAUGAGAUACGGCAAAGUCACAGAACCUGUUUUUAUGUUUUUGCCUGAUUCAUACGGGCUUCUCCGGUGAAGAUGGGCCUGAAGUAACGCUUGGGUUGCUUCUGACGUUAUAACUCAUCCUGUAGCUGCAGCAACCGUGGUCCUUGCAACCUCAUAAAAAUGUUGCCAGCAUUGUUUCGAUAGUGCUGCUUAAUUCUUGGAAGGUUCUUCGGACUUCACACAUUCCAGCAGUAGCUCUCUCAGCUCCUGUCCUGCACAGCUUUGAAGUGCUGAAAUGCAUAUGUAUCUUUGGAAGAAACUCUGAAGUAAAGGCCGGAAUAUUCUUUGUUUAAAACAUUAAAAACAAAACAGACCAAAGCAUCAAGCAAGAAGUUUCCUGGCAAUAAACUAAGCACAGCAUUAUUUUUUAAGGAACACAAAUUAAGUGUUCAACCUGUGGCAAAUUUGUACUUUCUCC